rnacentral:rRNA from 1 species
UGAGGGAAAGGCGAAAAGAACCCCGGCGAGGGGAGUGAAAAAGAACCUGAAACCGUGUACGUACAAGCAGUGGGAGCCUCUUAAUGGGGUGACUGCGUACCUUUUGUAUAAUGGGUCAGCGACUUAUAUUCUGUAGCAAGGUUAACCGAAUAGGGGAGCCGAAGGGAAACCGAGUCUUAACUGGGCGUUAAGUUGCAGGGUAUAGACCCGAAACCCGGUGAUCUAGCCAUGGGCAGGUUGAAGGUUGGGUAACACUAACUGGAGGACCGAACCGACUAAUGUUGAAAAAUUAGCGGAUGACUUGUGGCUGGGGGUGAAAGGCCAAUCAAACCGGGAGAUAGCUGGUUCUCCCCGAAAGCUAUUUAGGUAGCGCCUCGUGAAUUCAUCUCCGGGGGUAGAGCACUGUUUCGGCAAGGGGGUCAUCCCGACUUACCAACCCGAUGCAAACUGCGAAUACCGGAGAAUGUUAUCACGGGAGACACACGGCGGGUGCUAACGUCCGUCGUGAAGAGGGAAACAACCCAGACCGCCAGCUAAGGUCCCAAAGUCAUGGUUAAGUGGGAAACGAUGUGGGAAGGCCCAGACAGCCAGGAUGUUGGCUUAGAAGCAGCCAUCAUUUAAAGAAAGCGUAAUAGCUCACUGGUCGAGUCGGCCUGCGCGGAAGAUGUAACGGGGCUAAACCAUGCACCGAAGCUGCGGCAGCGACACUAUGUGUUGUUGGGUAGGGGAGCG